rnacentral:rRNA from 1 species
CCUACGGGAGGCAGCAGUGAGGAAUAUUGGUCAAUGGGCGCGAGCCUGAACCAGCCAAGUAGCGUGAAGGAUGACUGCCCUACGGGUUGUAAACUUCUUUUAUAAAGGAAUAAAGUGAGGCACGUGUGCCUUUUUGUAUGUACGUUAUGAAUAAGGAUCGGCUAACGCCGUGCCAGCAGCCUCGGUAAUACGGAGGAUCCGAGCGUUAUGCGGAUUGAUUGGGUUUAAAGGGAGCGUAGAUGGGUUGUUAAGUCAGUUGUGAAAGUUUGCGGCUCAACCGUAAAAUUGCAAUUGAUACUGGCAGUCUUGCUUACAGUUGCGGUAGGCGGCAUUCGUGUUGUAGCGGU